rnacentral:rRNA from 1 species
CACGUGGGCAAUCUGCCCUGCACUCUGGGACAAGCCCUGGAAACGGGGUCUAAUACCGGAUAUGACCGUCUGCCGCAUGGUGGAUGGUGUAAAGCUCCGGCGGUGCAGGAUGAGCCCGCGGCCUAUCAGCUUGUUGGUGAGGUAGUGGCUCACCAAGGCGACGACGGGUAGCCGGCCUGAGAGGGCGACCGGCCACACUGGGACUGAGACACGGCCCAGACUCCUACGGGAGGCAGCAGUGGGGAAUAUUGCACAAUGGGCGAAAGCCUGAUGCAGCGACGCCGCGUGAGGGAUGACGGCCUUCGGGUUGUAAACCUCUUUCAGCAGGGAAGAAGCGAAAGUGACGGUACCUGCAGAAGAAGCGCCGGCUAACUACGUGCCAGCAGCCGCGGUAAUACGUAGGGCGCAAGCGUUGUCCGGAAUUAUUGGGCGUAAAGAGCUCGUAGGCGGCUUGUCACGUCGGUUGUGA